rnacentral:rRNA from 1 species
UACGGGGGGAGCAAGCGUUGUUCGGAUUCAUUGGGCGUAAAGGGUGCGUAGGUGGCGAGGCAAGUCAGAUGUGAAAUCCCAGGGCUCAACCCUGGAACUGCAUUUGAUACUGCCCUGCUUGAGUACUGGAGAGGAGAUUGGAAUUUACGGUGUAGCAGUGAAAUGCGUAGAUAUCGUAAGGAAGACCAGUGGCGAAGGCGAAUCUCUGGACAGUUACUGACACUGAGGCACGAAGGCCAGGGGAGCAAACGGG